rnacentral:rRNA from 1 species
AGAUUGAACGCUGGCGGCAGGCCUAACACAUGCAAGUCGAGCGGUAGAGAGGUGCUUGCACCUCUUGAGAGCGGCGGACGGGUGAGUAAUGCCUAGGAAUCUGCCUAGUGGUGGGGGAUAACGUUCGGAAACGGACGCUAAUACCGCAUACGUCCUACGGGAGAAAGCGGGGGACCUUCGGGCCUCGCGCCAUUAGAUGAGCCUAGGUCGGAUUAGCUAGUUGGUGAGGUAAUGGCUCACCAAGGCGACGAUCCGUAACUGGUCUGAGAGGAUGAUCAGUCACACUGGAACUGAGACACGGUCCAGACUCCUACGGGAGGCAGCAGUGGGGAAUAGUUGGAACAAGUGGGGACGAAA